GGACAAGCUUAAUUUGACUUGGAAAACGAUAAUGAAUCAAAGAAUAGAAGCUUACCUUAGUUUUAGAUUGUGGCUCUUAAUAGCUAGCUGGUGUCCGAGCUCGCUCCUCAGGUUCGAAAUGGAAUCAGCAUCAACAGCCUAACAUAGGAAAAGCCAGCAAGGAAAAAUUAUAAUCAUUCUAAUUUCCAAAGUACUGAAUCAGCAACUUGUAUGUACAUAUCUGAUUGCAUAUACAAAAAUGUGCAAUCUACAUAAGAGCAAGUUCAAGCAUUCAACCAAUAAGUCAACCGAACAAAAACUAGCCAAAAGCUAGCUAUAAUGCAUAACUGACAGACAUAUCCAUUGCAGUUCAGACUCUGAAGGCUUCUAUACAGUUCAAAGAAAGUGAAAAUACAAUAAAUAAAAAUGGAUAAAUGCCAAAUUAAAUCCUCAAAGUUUGGACACUUCAACAUAAAAGUUGGCAAUCUUACCCUGA
rnacentral:lncRNA from 1 species